AGCUUUCCGAGUCCGUGCUGGGAUUUCGUCAGACAGCAACCCGAUUGGGCUGGUCAAACUUUCAAGGUAAGUAAAGUU
rnacentral:pre_miRNA from 1 species